rnacentral:piRNA from 1 species
UGCCACCUGAUGGCUGAUGGAGCAGAGG